rnacentral:lncRNA from 10 species
CGCGGGCCGCAACAUCUAGAUCGUGGAAGAGAGGGCAGUUGUUUUAGGAUUCUACCUAGGGUUGGCCGAGAAAGGAGAAGAAAUACGGUGUCUGCGCUAGCGCGUGCGCCCCGGGGUUAGACUUGGGUGCGCCCAGCGGACGUGGUGGCAGAGCCUUGCGGCUUUGGAGAGAGGUGGAGCCUUGGUGAGGUUGGGAGGACUGCCUAACUGCGAUCUUUUUCUCCAUUCUUCCUCCUGGGAACUUCUCCGCCCUGAAAGGGUAGCGUGAGCUUCAUGCCUUCGGCCGGCCGUGUUAUACUCGUUAGACCCAAUUCACCAUGAAUCCUUUGAAAGACUAGUGGAGAGUGAGAAGGGGGUUUCAAAGUCACUGGAGUAAAGGAAUUCUCCAAGCACCACCUCAUGAUUAAUUCUUGGAAAAGCCUGUUUGCGCGGCCCUUAGAAUCAUUUUGACUUCUUGUCUAAUGGUGAAGUUUUUCUCUGUAAUCCUUCUACUCUGUUUUCUAAAACCAGAACUAAAAACCUAAAAAAUUGUAAAACUUCAUGGUGUAAUUAAAACCCCUUCACCAUUUUUUUUAAGUAAGAUUGUGUGGCCUUAUUGCACAAUUUAAAUUCCUGGAAAAACCUCUUCCCAUCUGCAGUGUACAAGCAUUCUAACAUAUUAUGUCUCCUCACAGGGUGUUUCCGCUUUUGCUUCCUCCUCAUUGUCUCUUGCCACCGUCAUGUAAGAAGUGCCUUUCACCCUCCUGCCAUGAUUCUGAGGCCUCCCAGCCAUGUGGAACUGUAA